rnacentral:misc_RNA from 1 species
ACCAAUCAUAGGGUAUGCAAACUCGUUUCAAAAUGAAAUCUCGAAUUUCAACCAACUACUGACGAUGCCAAAAAGGGACGAAAAACUAAUCGAAGAAAAGCUAGCUCGAAUCAGAAAACUGCAUCAGAUGAUAGUGGACUUUGAACUGGACGCCAUCGAACAUUACGCAGGUGGCUGUUUGGUGCAGAUCUCAACCCAGGCCGGAUCCGUUCUUCUAUGUAUCUUUUUGGGCUAUAUUUGUGGCUACGUUCAGGCCAUCAGCAUUUCAAUGGGCCUAGCUUUUCAAAUCACACAGUAUUGUGCCUUGGGAACGAUUGUAACUGCCAAGAACGAACAAAUCACUGCGGACAUCUACGACAUUGGGUGGAAUAAGCUGCAGAAGCCACAGCAGCAGAUGGUCGCGUUUAUGUUGCAUCGUGCUCAGAUUGCCAGAGAUUUGACCGUGGGUCAGGUGGCUCCACUAAAUAUGGUCACGUAUGUCAAGAUUAUGAAAACCAUGUACUCCUUCUUUGCAAUGCUCGUCACAGUAAUGAGAUAAUUUAUGAAGUUCCUGAAAACGCUUCGUUACACACUAUCUAUCUAUUCAGUUAAACCCCAAAUUAAAAAAAGUGUCCCUGUGUUAAUAUAAAUGGCCGCUUAGGGACAAUGAUCAAAAUCAAGACUUUUAUGAAAAAUCAUCAGAAGAAUUGAACUCUACGAUCGGUAUAUAAAAAUGAGCUGCAUACCAUGCUGCAUUUUCCGUGAGAUUUUUUCACAUAUUAUUCCACAACUAAUUUAAAGAGCUUUUCUCAACUUUUUAAUCUUUUUAAUACGAUGGACACACUGAUGGGCUACAUAUUUUAGGAUCUGGAUUACUACUUUUCUGCAGUGUCUAAAUUCAAUUCUCAAAAAUUCAUUGUCACGAAUUAAUGUAACUAACUCGGACGAAAAUACUAAAUAAACAUUUUUGAGUUAAUAUUCCUUG